rnacentral:rRNA from 1 species
UGGGGAAUUUUGCACAAUGGGCGCAAGCCUGAUGCAGCCAUGCCGCGUGUAUGAAGAAGGCCUUCGGGUUGUAAAGUACUUUCAGCGGGGAGGAAGGGAGUAAAGUUAAUACCUUUGCUCAUUGACGUUACCCGCAGAAGAAGCACUGGCUAACUCCGUGCCAGCAGCCGCGGUAAUACGGUGGGUGCAAGCGUUAAUCGGAAUUAUUGUGCGUUAAGCGCACGCAUGCGGUUUGUUAAGGCAGAUGUGAAAUCCCCGGGCUCAACCAGAGAACUGCAUCUGAAACUUGCAAGCUUGAGUAUAGUAGAGGGGGGUAGAAUUCCAGGUGUAGCGGUGAAAAGCGUAGAGAUCUGGAGGAAUACCGGUGGCGAAGGCAGCCCCCUGGACGAAGACUGACGCUCAGGUGCGAAAGCAUGGGGAGCAAACAGG